rnacentral:rRNA from 1 species
GACGAACGCUGGCGGCGUGCUUAACACAUGCAAGUCGAACGGAAAGGCCCUGCUUUUGUGGGGUGCUCGAGUGGCGAACGGGUGAGUAACACGUGAGUAACCUGCCCUUGACUUUGGGAUAACUUCAGGAAACUGGGGCUAAUACCGGAUAGGAGCUCCUGCUGCAUGGGGGGGGUUGGAAAGUUUCGGCGGGUGGGGAUGGACUCGCGGCUUAUCAGCUUGUUGGUGGGGUAGUGGCUUACCAAGGCUUGGACGGGUAGCCGGCCUGAGAGGGUGACCGGCCACAUUGGGACUGAGAUACGGCCCAGACCCCUACGGGAGGCAGCAGGGGGGAAUAUGGCACAAUGGGCGGAGGCCGGAUGCAGCAACGCCGCGUGCGGGAUGACGGCCUUCGGUUUUUAAACCGCUUUCGCCUGUGACGAAGCGUGAGUGACGGUAAUGGGUAAAGAAGCACCGGCUAACUACGUG